rnacentral:lncRNA from 10 species
UCUGAAUGAUGCAGUGUCGCAAUCCCAUUUUAUAAAUGAGGCAACCAAAACUCGAACAGGACACAGCUAGAAUAUGUUUCCAAGCCUCCCCAACACGUGUGACUGUGUAUAAUUGAGUUCUAACCACAGGAAGCUUGAUGCAGAUGAGCAGGUAACCAUGGAAGUCGUGAGCUGAGGCUGCAGAGUCUAGAGCCAGAGUGUGGAAUAAACUUGGGUCUCAAAUCACCCCUGGAGCAAAGCACCCAUCUAAUCAGGAACUUCUACUUUCAACUUUACAUGCGUGAGAAAUGAACUUCUAUCAUGUUAGAGAAAUCCUUACACGGCGCCCUUGAGAGCUUUCAUACUGCAAGUCAUCCAUUUUCCUCCCCUCAAACCUGGCAUCGGAGUUUAUUGAAACAAAGCAAAAUAAAACAAAUAGACAAAGCUCUACCUCCAUCACUUCUGCAGUCUACAUUAACCCCACGUCCAGAAUAUUCACACCUCAGGUCUUUUUCUCACAAUUGAAACACUGGUUCAGAGCCUAACGGAAGGUCUUGGAGGUAAAAACACAACUUGGGGCAACUUUUCCAUUCUGUUCUGCAUGACCCCAAUGGGACUUCUCAGAAACCCCUCUCAUGAAUUAAACUUUGUUCUGUCUAGAGCAUUAGAAUAAGCUUAUGGGCACCUGCCAGGAGAUUAUAAAGUGGGCCAUUUAAAAGAUGACAGAUAUUGAGCACCCUUGACCCUGUAGAAAGAGUGUACCUACUUGCUUUCCCUAGGGCCCUUAAUGGUUUAUAAAAACAAGCACUCACUGAUUCAAAAAAUAUCCUCAUUCCACAGUCUUGCCAUGCCUUCUUUCUGAGCACAUGGCAGUCAGUCUCUAGCACAUCCAGUGUAAGAUAGAACAGAGAUCCCAGGCCACCCUGUGGGAAGGGGUAGAGAAAUGCAAUACAUUUCACAGGAAGUAGAAACCUAGAAAGACCACACAAAAAAACCCCUGCUUUAUGGCAAAGCCAAAGAAUAUUUGUGAAGAUUCCCCGUAAACCAUUAAAUCUGACACAAGUGUCAGAGUAGGAUCACUGUUAACACUUGUUUUUACUAACAAUAAGUGCGUUGUUGCUGACCCUGGCAGAGGAGAACAGAGAGUUCUCGGCAGGGCUUCCAAUACAGAAAACACCUGCCAGGGUGUCUCUGGGUUCCCUCACCCUGGCCAGUCUCUCCAGCUUGCCCACAUCCCUGCCCCAGAGUGGGAACUGUCCCUACUUGCCCGUCUGUAUUCCUGGGCGUCGUUCACUCGGUUGAGUCUCAGCACAUAGCCAUCCUUUCUGUCUUUG